rnacentral:rRNA from 1 species
GAAGGGAGCUUGCUCCUGGAUUCAGCGGCGGACGGGUGAGUAAUGCCUAGGAAUCUGCCUGGUAGUGGGGGAUAACGUCCGGAAACGGGCGCUAAUACCGCAUACGUCCUGAGGGAGAAAGUGGGGGAUCUUCGGACCUCACGCUAUCAGAUGAGCCUAGGUCGGAUUAGCUAGUUGGUGGGGUAAAGGCCUACCAAGGCGACGAUCCGUAACUGGUCUGAGAGGGUGAUCGGCCACACUGGGACUGAGACACGGCCCAGACUCCUACGGGAGGCAGCAGUAGGGAAUCUUCGGCAAUGGACGAAAGUCUGACCGAGCAACGCCGCGUGAGUGAAGAAGGUUUUCGGAUCGUAAAACUCUGUUGUUAGAGAAGAACAAGGACGUUAGUAACUGAACGUCCCCUGACGGUAUCUAACCAGAAAGCCACGGCUAACUACGUGCCAGCAGCCGCGGUAAUACGUAGGUGGCAAGCGUUGUCCGGAUUUAUUGGGCGUAAAGCGAGCGCAGGCGGUUUCUUAAGUCUGAUGUGAAAGCCCCCGGCUCAACCGGGGAGGGUCAUUGGAAACUGGGAGACUUGAGUGCAGAAGAGGAGAGUGGAAUUCCAUGUGUAGCGGUGAAAUGCGUAGAUAUAUGGAGGAACACCAGUGGCGAAGGCGGCUCUCUGGUCUGUAACUGACGCUGAGGCUCGAAAGCGUGGGGA